GCAGGAGCGCCACCGUUGGAGGGGUGGGCCGGGUUGUAACCCCGGUGCCUUCGGGCCUAGCAGGUUCGAAUCCUGCCUCCUGCACCA
rnacentral:tRNA from 1 species